CCUACGGGGCGCAGCAGGCGCGAAAACUUUACAAUGCGGGAAACCGUGAUAGGGGAACUCCGAGUGCCCGUAAAAUCGGGCUGUCCAUCUGUUUAAAUAACAGGUGAAGAAAGGGCCGGGCAAGACCGGUGCCAGCCGCCGCGGUAAUACCGGCGGCUCGAGUGGUGGCCACUAUUACUGGGCUUAAAGCGUUCGUAGCUGGUCUGUUAAGUCUCUGGGGAAAUCUACUGGCUUAACCAAUAGGCGUUUCAGGGAUACUGGCAGACUAGGGACCGGGAGAGGUGAGGGGUACUCCAGGGGUAGGAGUGAAAUCCUGUAAUCC
rnacentral:rRNA from 1 species